AAGUAAAAUUAUAGCGAAUGGGUUUAAAAGAAAGUUAACGCGAAAGGUUGCUAAGUAUAAAUUUUUUAUUUUUAUGUCUAGUUUUAAACGAGUUUUUGAUUUAAUUAAAUUAAUUUACUUUUUUGAAUGAAUGUUAAUUUUGCAUUCAUUUUAUGUUUUAUCCUAAACGAAAUUCUUUUAGAUCUUAAAACGCAAAAAUGAACUCAAAACCUCUAAACAAUUUUGAGUUAAAAUCUUUUAAUUAUUUUCCAACAAAUGAAUUUUUUACAAAGAAACUGUUCCCGAUUCAAUUAAUCUAAGCAAAGCAGGUACUUUGUUAAGCCAUUGCUCGUACUAUUAUAACAAUGAACUAAAGGAAUUUCUUAAACGAGAUCAUUUAAAUGUUAUACAUAUGUAUUAUGUAUACAAAAUUCUUUUCUAUACUUCUUAUGUUAAAAUGUACAUAUUAACAUAAGAAGUUUAGAAAAGAAUUUUGAAAAUUUUAGAAUUGAUAUUGAUGAAAGUUUAAAUAUUUUUAACAUUAUAUGCGUAACUGAAACUUGGUGUAGUUCAAAGGGAUAUUUAUUUAACAAAAUAAUUUCUAGAAACGAAUCGCUAAUAAACUUAAACAACGAACAGUCCCUGAAAACAAAGUUAAAAUCUACAAUAAUCAAGUUAAACAACUACAAGGAGUUUUUUUAAACUCCAAUGUAAAGUUUAAAAAUAAAAAUAAUAUAAAACAACCCUAAUAAAACCAAAAAUGUAACUUUUCAAAAGAAACAAUAAAAAUAAUACUAAAAGGAGAUAGUAACAUUAAUAAUUUUAAGGCAUAUAUGUACCACAUACAUAUUUACCACGUAUGCAACUAAUUUUUAUGUGUAUUACACGUCUUGAAGAUACUCGAUGACAAGACUGACCCCAGUCUUUUGCGAGCUUUCUAUAACUACAAACAAUUAAUUAUUUUCUUCAAUCUUAUGCAAAUCUUGUUUUUAUCAUACUUUUAUAUAUACAUAUAUAUUUUAUUUUAAUUGAAAGAAUAUAGAAGGUUUAUUUCUUGGGUAAUUUUUACGUUCACGUUAUUCUAUUGUGUACUUUGUAUUUAUUUUUAUCAUGUCUCAAAGUUGAAUGUAACAAUAUUUUAGAUUUAUCCCUUAUUUAUUUUGGACUUUAUGUUUACGAUAUUUAUAUUUGUAUAUCGUUAUUCGCCAAUCGGUGAUUGGUCAAUUGUAAAUACUUUGUAGUUGUAAAAAAAACAUGUUGAAAAAAAAUAAUAAUAAUAAGAAAAAAAAACUUUUUAAAAUUAAGUUCGUACUCAUAACCACAGCAGGUCUCCUAGGUGAGCAGCCUUUGGUCCAUAGAACAAUGUAGGUAAGGGAAGUCGGCAAAAUAGAUCCGUAACUUCGGGAAAAGGAUUGGCUCUAAGGAUUGGGUCUGUCAGGCUGAGACUUAAAGCGAGUGGCACCAACCUGGGCUAGCUCGCGGCUCACGUCGCAGGGGGCUGUGGGUUGGAAUGGGAAGGAACCGCUCGUGGAUUGGUGCAGCUUUGCUUGUGAGAGCAGUUUGGAAGGCGAUUGACAAUCAACUGAGACCUGGUACGGACAAGGGGAAUCUGACUGCUUAAUUAAAACAAAACAUUGCGAUUGCCGGAAACGGUGUUGACACAAUGUGGUUUCUGCCCAGUGCUCUGAAUGUCAAAGUGAAGAAAUUUAACCAAGCGCGGGUAAACGACGGUAGUAAUUAUGAUUCUCUUAAGUCAUAUAAUAUUAUGAUUCUCGUCAUCUAAUUAGUGACACGGAUAAAUUGAUUAACGAGAUUCCCACUAGCCCUAUCUACUAUCUAGCAAAACCACAGCCAAGGGAACGAACGGUCUUGGCAAAAUCAGAGGGGAAAGAACACCCUGUUGAGCUUGACUCUAGCCUGACUCUGUGAAAAGACAUAGGAGGUGUAGGAUAGGUGGGAGGCAACAAUGUCGAAAAUGAAAUACCGCUACUCUUAUUGUUUUUUUACUUAUUCGGUUGAGCGGAGGCGGACUUCACGGCCCACUUUCUAGAAUUAAGGUCCCGUCGGCAGGUCGAUCCGUGUCGAAGACACUGUCAGGUUGGGAGUUUGGCUGGGGCGGCACAUCUGUCAAAUAAUAUAGCAGGUGUCCUAAGGUGAGCUCAAUGAGAACAGAAAUCUCAUGUAGAACAAAAAGGUAAAAGCUCACUUGAUUUUGAUUUUCAGUAUGAAUACAAGUUGUGAAAGCAUGGCCUAUUGAUCCUUUAGUAUUUAAGCUAGAGGUGUCAAAAAAGUUACCACAGGGAUAACUGGCUUGUGGCAGCCAAGCGUUCAUAGCAACAUUACUUUUUGAUCCUUCAAUGUCGGCUCUUCCUAUCAUUAUGAAGCAGAAUUCACCAAGUGUUGGAUUGUUCACACACUAAUAGGGAACGUGAGCUGGGUUUAGACCGUCGUGAGACAGGUUAGUUUUACCCUACUGAUGAAGUGUUGUUGCAAUAGUAUUUCUA
rnacentral:rRNA from 1 species